rnacentral:lncRNA from 1 species
GCGGAGGGUGGAGAGAAGAGGGGAAUCGUGGGGACGAUCGUCUUCGCGGGUGAGCCUGUGGACGAGGUCGACGACGUUGGUGGGCGAGGGUCGCGGCGGCACCCAGAAGGAGGAGCCGGGCACGAAGGGUAGCCAAUCCGGGGUGGCCUUCUUCACGAGAAUCCUGUGGAUUAGGUCAUCGAAGUGCUUCAGCGCCACGUCGUACUCCGCCAUGUCGACCUCCACCACCUGCGAGGCCCCCGCCUUGCUAGACCUCCG